UCCAGCGAGCAACCUUCACGGGCCACGGUCUGGGCGAACGGAUACAGGUUAACAACCACCAUAUCGAUAGGCUGGAUCUGAUGUUCUUCCAUAAUGGCAUCGUCCUGGCCGCGACGGCCCAGAAUGCCACCAUGUACUUUCGGAUGCAGGGUCUUCACGCGUCCAUCCAUCAUCUCCGGGAAACCGGUGUAAUCGGAAACUUCGGUUACCGGCAGACCUUUUUCUGCUAACAGACGGGCAGUGCCCCCUGUAGACAGCAGCUCCACACCGCGUGCGGAAAGUGCCUGGGCGAAUUCGACGAUACCGGCUUUGUCAGAAACACUGAGCAGAGCGCGGCGGACUGGACGACGUUGUUGCAUGGUAAAUCCCCUGGAUUUGACUAUUACAGAGAGCGUUAGCUGAAUUUUUCGCGAAAAACUCAGCUAACGCCCCUAACGGGGCAUCCUUAUUUUUCGCCCGCAUUGUAACGAAAACGUUUGCGCAACGCUCGCGAAUUUUUUUAAUUCGAUGGCGAUCACGAUUUUGCCCCCGAUUAGCGUGGGAGAAAUAGAGAAAUAACGCUGAUGAUUGUGGAUAACUCUGUGCGUAAAAAGGUAUAAAGCGGGGUUUUGCUGGGGAAUGCAGCAGUCAGUCAUUUUUCUGCAAUUUUUCUAUUGCGGCCUGCGGAGAACUCCCUAUAAUGCGCCUCCAUCGACACGGCGGAUGUGAAUCACUUCACACAAACAGCCGGUUCGGUUGAAGAGAAAAAUUCUGAAAUUCAGGGUUGACUCUGAAAGAGGAAAGCGUAAUAUACGCCACCUCGCGACAGUGAGCUGAAAGCCGCGUCGCAACUGCUCUUUAACAAUUUAUCAGACAAUCUGUGUGGGCACUCGAAGAUACGGAUUCUUAACGUCGCAAGACGAAAAAUGAAUACCAAGUCUCAAGAGUGAACACGUAAUUCAUUACGAAGUUUAAUUCUUU
rnacentral:rRNA from 1 species